AACGAACGCUGGCGGCAGGCUUAACACAUGCAAGUCGAACGCAUCCUUCGGGGUGAGUGGCAGACGGGUGAGUAACGCGUGGGAACGUGCCCUUCAGUUCGGGAUAACCCAGUGAAACUUGGGCUAAUACCGGAUACGUGCGAGAGCAGAAAGAUUUAUCGCUGAAGGAUCGGCCGGCGGCUGAUUAGCUAGUUGGUGGGGUAAUGGCCCACCAAGGCGACGAUCAGUAGCUGGUCUGAGAGGAUGAUCAGUCACAUUGGGACUGAGACACGGCCCAAACCCAUACGGGGGGCAGCCGUGGGGACUAUUGGACAAUGGGCGCAAGCCUGAUCCAGCCACGCCGCGUGAGUGAUGAAGGCCUUAGGGUUGUAAAGCUCUUUCGUCCGGGACGAUAAUGCCGGUACCGGAAGAAGAAGCCCCGGCUAACUUCGUGCCAGCCGCCGCGGUAA
rnacentral:rRNA from 1 species